GACGAACGCUGGCGGCGUGCCUAAUACAUGCAAGUCGAACGCAGUGGGGACGGGUGAGUAACACGUGGGUAACCUACCAUCAGAGGGGAUAACCCUUGGAAACAGGUGCUAAACCGCAACUGAUGGAUGGACACGCGGUGCAUUAGCUAGUGGGUGAGGUAACGGCUCACCAAGGCCACGAGGCAUAGCCGCCUGGCGAGGGUGUUCGCCAAAAUGGGGACUGGGACACGGCCCAGCCUCCUACGGGUGGCAGCAGGAGGGAAUCUUCGGCAAUGGACGAAAGUCUGACCGAGCAACUCCGCGUGAGUGAAGAAGGUUUUCGGUUCGUAAAACUCUGUUGUUAGAGAAGCGGUAUCUAACCAGAAAGCCACGGCUAACGACGUGCCAGCAGCCGCGGUAAUAC
rnacentral:rRNA from 1 species